GCCGCAAUAGCUCAGUUGGGAGAGCGUUAGACUGAAGUUGUUUACGCAACAGCCAUCUAAAGGCCCCCGGUUCAAACCCGGGUUCCAGAA
rnacentral:tRNA from 1 species